rnacentral:ncRNA from 1 species
UCUGGAUACACUUGUAUUCAUCCAAGAGAAUGAGGUAAGUCACUUUACGGAAUUUAGUAUAAGUAAUACAUUUUAGGAUUGAUAAAGACUUUCAUAAAGUGAAAUUCUAAAAUGUUGGGAUAACCGUAUGUCCUUUAACACUACUUGUGUUAUAAAAAUAAUCUUGAAUAAUUUUAAAUAAGUUCUCAAGUUACGGUCUU